rnacentral:rRNA from 1 species
AUUGAACGCUGGCGGCAUGCCUUACACAUGCAAGUCGAACGGUAACAGGUCUUCGGAUGCUGACGAGUGGCGAACGGGUGAGUAAUACAUCGGAACGUGCCCGAGAGUGGGGGAUAACGAGGCGAAAGCUUUGCUAAUACCGCAUACGAUCUCAGGAUGAAAGCAGGGGACCGCAAGGCCUUGCGCUCACGGAGCGGCCGAUGGCAGAUUAGGUAGUUGGUGGGAUAAAAGCUUACCAAGCCGACGAUCUGUAGCUGGUCUGAGAGGACGACCAGCCACACUGGGACUGAGACACGGCCCAGACUCCUACGGGAGGCAGCGGUGGGGAAUUUUGGACAAUGGGCGCAAGCCUGAUCCAGCCAUGCCGCGUGCAGGAUGAAGGCCUUCGGGUUGUAAACUGCUUUUGUACGGAACGAAAAGACUCCUUCUAAUAAAGGGGGUUCAUGACGGUACCGUAAGAAUAAGCACCGGCUAACUACGUGCCAGCAGCCGCAGUAACAC